CUCCGCCUGGGGAGUACGGCCGCAAGGCUAAAACUCAAAUGAAUUGACGGGGGCCCGCACAAGUGGUGGAGCAUGUGGUUUAAUUCGAUGCAACGCGAAGACCCUUACCAACCCUUGAAAUCUAGCGAAGUUCACAGAGAUGAGAAUGUGCCUUCGGGAACGCUAUGACAGGUGUUGCAUGGCUGUCGUCAGCUCGUGUCGUGAGAUGUAUGGUUAAGUCCAGUAACGAGCGCAACCCCUAUCCUUAUUUGCCAGCGCGUUAAGGCGGGAACUAUAGGGAGACUGCCGGGUGAAACCCGGAGGAAGGCGGGGACGAGGUCAAGUCAUCAUGGCCCUUAUGGGUUGGGCUACACACGUGCUACAAUGGGAAGUACAGAGGGACGCUAAAGCGCGAGCUGGAGCCAAACCCUUAAAACUUUUCUUAGUCCGGAUUGGAGUCUGCAACUCGACUCCAUGAAGUCGGAAUCACUAGUAAUCGCGAAUCAGAAUGUCGCGGUGAAUACGUUCUCGGGCCUUGUACACACCGCCCGUCACAUCAUGGAAGUGGGUUGCACCAGAAGUGGUUAGUCUAACCUUCGGGAAGACGAUCACCACGGUGUGAUUCAUGACUGGGAUGAAGUCGUAACAAGGUA
rnacentral:rRNA from 1 species